AAGUUUUUUUUUUAAAUUUGUCAUAUUUUUAAUAGGUUAAAGUAUAAUAUAUUUUUAUUAGAAUACCUGAUCUAUUUUAAUUAGCGUUUAAUUUCUUUUUAGAUGAAGUUCUAUAAAUAAGGAUAAAAUGUAGAAGAAAAUACGUGAAAGGUGAAAUCGAUCAGGAGAUCGAUAAAAAAAUGAAUUAUUUUCUACAGGAGGGAAUCUGAGUUAUUCUUGAGAUGGAUCGAAGUUUCGUUUAAUUUUUGAAUGAUAUAAGGUACAUAAAAAUAAAGAAUUCUCUUUUCAUAAUGGGAAAUUGUUCCUUGUGUAUUGCAAUUGCGGUUUUUAAACUGCAUCGAAAUACACGAAUAUCUUCUUUAUGGUGAUCGAUGAUCUCCUCUUCUAUUCCGAAAAUCAGCCUGAUGUAUCGAAGAAAAUUCGUUAUAGUUGAAUGUAUGGAAGAGAAAAAUAAGAAUUGAACAAUUAAAGAAACAAAGAUAUGAUCAAAUUUUUUAUAUUUUGUUUGAAUAAUGAAGCCAGUUGUUUAAUCCAAAAUAAAAGAGUAAUUAACGGAUAUUUCUUUUUUUAUAUUAAGAUUAUGAUGAUUUUUAAAAAUCAAUAAACAGAAUGAUAAGAUCAAUAUCAAUACUCAUUUAAGGAACAAUUAUGAACAAAGGGUUAAUCGAAUCUUCAACCUAUACAAUCUUGAACGGGAUUGCAUUAUCAUCAGUGUCCACAAAUCAGUGCCAGUUUUGUCGGAAUAUUACAGCAUUAUUUGGAACGAUCCUGGUGGAACAUUGUCCGGAAGAAAGGGUUCGCUGCCAAGCAUGCUUGGAGCGAUCUCGAAGCUGCGGCAACGCGACAUAAAGACCGUUUCAUUUGUAAUACUGCGGAAAGUUUCGUCCUGUCUAGCACAGAAAAGGCUAGAGAGAAGCCUAAGGUAGAAACUUUCGAGGGUGGAACCUUUUUUCUCUGUCUUUUUUUUUUUUUUCAUUUUCUUCUUGUUCCUUUUUUCUCUCUCUUUGUACUUACUCCUAUACUUAUGCUCAUGCACAUGCACAUAGAUAUGUACACUCCACGAUUGAGCGAAGAAAAAACUGACCCGCUCGUACUUUCGGCGCGUAAUGCUGGCCAGGAGGUUGCAAAAAACUGCAGGCGCGUGCAGCGGAAGUUAGGGUGCAAAAGGGAGUAAAGAAAGAGAGAGAACGGAGAACGUAGAGGCGAAAAAGGCGAUUAGGCCGUCUCGACUCUCCGCUGAGAAAAAAUUCAGGGGUGAAAUAGUUUUGCGAUUUCUGGGAAUUCUCAUUCUCUUUUGGAGUUACUGCUUUUUUUUAUUCGUUUCUUUGUAUUUUUUAUUGAUUUCUGAGAAAUAUUGCUGAGUGGAAAUCAUUAUUCUGUUAAAUUAUAUUAC